UAUAUGACUUUUGGUUCUGAAUGGUUAUUACUACCCUUUUAGAUGUGUUGUCUGAAUUAGAUUGAUUCAUUGUGGUGCACUUAUGAAUUAUAUUUGUGUGAAUGGUUUUCUACUAAUUGUUCACAUUGGUUGGCUUUGUUCGUAAUGGUUAUGCUGAUGGGAGCUUAUGCGGAGGGUUUGGAGGUUGUCUCAUACGUUGAUUGCUUGGUUGCGGAAAGUUCUGAAGAUUCUGUCCGAAUGUUGACUUUUUGGUUUCGGAAGGUUCUGAAGAUUCAGUCCGAAUGUCAUAUGGUUAAGAGCGUAGUGAAGAUAUUGUUACAUUUUACGACCUUGAAUUCUUGUUAUAGCUAAUAUGAGUAUUUGUACGAUUUCUAAUUGUUAUAGCUUAAUAUAAUGAGACAUUGUUUUUCCCAAAUUUCAAAAGUUUUAUCUUGGAUUGCUAAUU